AGAUUCUGGGAACACCACCCUUAAAGAUGCUGCACGCUGCACCAGACGGUCAUCGGUAUUUCCACUUCUUUGGGCAACUCACCGAGGAAUGUCUGCAGGAGACCCCUCAUUGUUGCCCGCUCAAGGAGUUUCUGAAAACAAAAGACCCAUUGUUCCUGGACUUCAUCAGCUCCAUCCUAUGCUAGAACCCAGAUGACCGCCUAACUCCGGAAAGUGCUCUCAAGCAACCAUGGAUGAGUGCAGCUCAUCCAUUGCCAGUCCGGAAGAGCAGCAGCUCUUCCUGACUGGCAAUUCCCAUUUUGGCUCCAAAGGUGUCCAGUGUCAUUUCACUUCCACCUCCAGCCGCCAUUCCAAUCCCCUUCAUUCAGCCAAGCACUGACGCCUUCCUGGCUUCUGUCUCUAUUGGGUCAUUGAUCGAAACCAUUUUGGAAUGGGAGAUGCCUACAGCCACUAGCUCAACAUCCACCGAAAAAUGCAGCAUUCAGGUGGAAGAUUUGAACACUGCUGUGUCUCUUACAGCAUCAAUUGCUGACUCUCUCCCAGAGUCGGAGACCAUAAUUAAUGUGGACAUCAAGCCUCAGGAUGUUG